AUUGAACGCUGGCGGCAUGCUUUACACAUGCAAGUCGAACGGCAGCGGGGGCUUCGGCCCGCCGGCGAGUGGCGAACGGGUGAGUAAUGCAUCGGAACGUACCCAGUCGUGGGGGAUAACGUAUCGAAAGGUACGCUAAUACCGCAUACGUCCUGAGGGAGAAAGCGGGGGACCUUCGGGCCUCGCGCGAUUGGAGCGGCCGAUGUCGGAUUAGCUAGUUGGUGGGGUAAAGGCCUACCAAGGCGACGAUCCGUAGCUGGUCUGAGAGGAUGAUCAGCCACACUGGGACUGAGACACGGCCCAGACUCCUACGGGAGGCAGCAGUGGGGAAUUUUGGACAAUGGGCGCAAGCCUGAUCCAGCCAUGCCGCGUGAGUGAAGAAGGCCUUCGGGUUGUAAAGCUCUUUCGCGAGGGAAGAAAAGGUGCGCUCUAACAUAGCGUACUGAUGACGGUACC
rnacentral:rRNA from 1 species